CGGGGUGCAGCAGGCGCGAAAACUUUGCAAUACACGAAAGUGUGACAGGGUCAUCCCGAGUGCCGACCGCUGAGGUUGGCUUUUACCCAGUCUAGAAAGCUGGGGGAAUAAGGAGAGGGCAAGUCUGGUGUCAGCCGCCGCGGUAAUACCAGCUCUCCGAGUGGUGUGGACGUUUAUUGGGCCUAAAGCAUCCGUAGCUGGCUGAACAAGUCCCCUGUUAAACCCACCGAUUUAAUCGUUGGUCUGCGGGGGAUACUGCUCGGCUAGGGGACGAGAGAGGCAGACGGUAUUCCCGGGGUAGGGGUGAAAUCCUAUAAUCCCGAGAAGACCACCAGUGGCAAAGGCUGUCUGCUAGAACGCGCCCGACGGUAAGGGAUGAAAGCUGGGGGAGCGAACCGGAUUAGAUACCCGGGUAGUCCCAGCUGUAAACGAUGCAGACUAGGUGUUUGGACGGCCACGUGCCGUUCUAGUGCCGCAGGGAAGCUGUUAAGUCUGCCGCCUGGGGAGUACGAUCGCAAGAUUGAAACUUAAAGGAAUUGGCGGGGGAGCAC
rnacentral:rRNA from 1 species